rnacentral:tRNA from 2 species
CCGCCCUUAGCUCAGUUGGUAGAGCGAGCGCCUUAUACGCGCCAGGUCCUAGGUUCAAGUCCUAGAGGGCGGACAA